GGAUAGCUCAGCUGGCUAAAGCAUGGUGCUGAUAAUGCCAAGGUUGUGGGAUCUAUCCCCACAUGGAACA